AGCAUACACCUGUAGUCCUAGA
rnacentral:miRNA from 1 species